CAGGCCUAACACAUGCAAGUCGAACGAGCUCUUCGGAGCUAGUGGCGGACGGGUGAGUAACGCGUGGGAACCUGCCCAGAGGUGGGGAAUAACUUCGGGAAACCGGAGCUAAUACCCCAUAAGCCCUUCGGGGGAAAGAUUUAUCGCCUUUGGAUGGGCCCGCGUCGGAUUAGCUAGUUGGUGGGGUAAUGGCCUACCAAGGCGACGAUCCGUAGCUGGUCUGAGAGGAUGAUCAGCCACACUGGGACUGAGACACGGCCCAGACUCCUACGGGAGGCAGCAGUGGGGAAUAUUGGACAAUGGGCGAAAGCCUGAUCCAGCAAUGCCGCGUGUGUGAAGAAGGCCUUAGGGUUGUAAAGCACUUUCAGCAGGGAAGAUAAUGACGGUACCUGCAGAAGAAGCCCCGGCUAACUCCGUGCCAGCAGCCGCGGUAAU
rnacentral:rRNA from 1 species